GGAGGUAUUGCUCAAAGUGCUAGAGUGCAUGCUUAGCAUGCAUGAGGUCCUGGGUUCAAUCUCCAGUACCUCAA
rnacentral:tRNA from 1 species